GCUAUAGUAUAGUUAUUGUCGGUCAGUCGCCACAGCCGCUGACGGGACUGUUCACCGACAGCAGUUGCGGACCCCAAUAACACCGGAUCACGGUGAUAGUGAUAAUAAUAAAAAAAAAAAAUAAUAAUAUAUCUCUGUCCUGUGGUGUGUGUGUGUGACCUAUUGCCGUGUUCGUUUUAUCGAAAUAACAAAAUUGGAAAACCGGCGAAACGCUGCAGAGGCCUGCAGCAAUCGCCCUCAGCCGGCGCACGUUCUCGUCACAUUUUAUAUUCUAGAUACGUCAUAAAUAUCUACGAUUUUCAAUUACGAGAAUAAAUUUACAAAUUCGUCGGCGACCCAUACGUCCACCAAUUCACCAUAUUAUUUCAACGAAACAAAACCUAAUGUUUUUCGCGCGAAUAAACGUUCACAAAUCGUAAUAGUUUUUUUCGUAGUAAAUUCCCCAGUCCUCUCACACGUUUACUCGUGCCACUAUCGCUAUAUACGGUGCAAUUACUGUGCGGGAGAGAGGGGUAGUAUAUUAUAAUAUUAUGUGUUUUAGUCAUCGCUUACACCAUCGACUAUAGGCCACGUCAUGCCACUGGUCGUUUCAGGGUGCAGUUGUACGUUAAAUGUACAGGAAGCCUGAGCGCGUGUCGCCAAAAGGGUUGUUCAGUCCACUACGGUACGCGCAGCCGAUGUGAUCACUGUCGUGCAAAUAUAGAUAUUAGACAAAUCCAGAAAUCUGUACAUCGACGUUUGUAAUACCUGCGUCCUGCAAGUUCAAUUAUACCGAUAUCCAAUCAGCCUACAUCCACUUUGACUCAUAUCUUUGAUUUGGUGACUGCACAUUGUUCGGACGAGGACACCACACCAAUGGCGACCGAAUGCACGCCACUAACCAAUACCGAUGACGUCACACCAGUAUCAGGUUCCGGGUACAUUUCGCUGUCGAAACACGAAACCGAUCACACUCCGCCGUGCCUGAAACCUAGAUGUUGCGUGUACGCAGCACUGCUGUCAUUGGUAUUAAUGGCCAUUAUAGUGGGCACGUCAUAUUACGUGGACCGGAGUCAAGGCGACUCGACAGUUAUUCAACCGGCCUCGGUGGCGAACACGUUGUUGCAGCUCAGAUGGCCAUUGAAAAACGAAGAAGACGAGGGAAUAACUGCGACAUCAAUUAUUCAGGGGACCGUCGUUAUAAAUGCGACCGGGGACGACUUAAUGUCCGCGGUGGAGAGAGGCUACAAAAGUUUGAAAGCCAAAGAGGAUUUGGAAAAAAACUUUCCGACAAUUGAUGGCGGGACUCCAUCAUACCGUCAUCAGCAAGUGAUGAAGUCCGGCCCCGAAUCGAUAGGAAUCGCGCGGAACGGUUACGUCGAAAACAUCGCGACUGAAAAAUUGAGGCUGCUAUUAAACAUCACUAAGGACCAGGAUGUUACGAUAUUGGUGGGCAACGUGACCGUUUUCAACAACGCCGAGUGCAUGAGUCCCGAACCGGUGAUUUGCCCUCUCCAGAGUCGUUACCGGACUGUGGAAGGCAUUUGUAACAACAUCUUGGAGCCGCUCAAAGGCGCCGCACUGAUGCCGUUCCACAGAGUGUUGCCGGCCGACUACUCCGACGGCGUAUGGAAACCGAGGAAAGCGACGGACGGUUCGGAGUUGCCGUCGGCUAAACGAGUCAGCGAGGAGGUGCACCGACCUUCGUACGAAGAAGAUCACGAUUUCACCGUCAUGCUGGCGGUCUGGGGUCAGUUCAUGGAUCACGACAUUACCGCCACCGCGCUCAGCCGAGGGCAUAAUGGAAGCGCUAUUUCGUGCUGCGGAUCGGUGGGCAAAAACGUUACGCACCCCGAAUGUUUUCCAGUGAUCGUGCACGAAGGUGAGAAAAAGUGCGGGAAAUGCAUGGAGUUUGUGCGGUCUUCGCCUGCGUCUACCUGCGGUUUCGGGCCCAGGGAACAGUUGAACCAAGCGAGCUCGUAUCUGGACGGAUCAUCCGUGUACGGCAACACACGUAAACUGCAAAACGACCUGAGAUCAUGGACUGGCGGACGAAUGAAGGUGUUCGUAACCGAAUAUGGAAAACAGUUGCUGCCGCCCAACAAAGAUCCGCUGGACGGGUGCAACGAAGAAUCGGAAAUGAAAAAAGGCCGUUACUGCUUUUUGUCCGGAGACGCCAGAUCGAAUGAAAACAUGCACCUGACGACUCUCCAUUUGAUCAUGGUGCGGCAGCACAACAUGAUUGCCGGUAGAUUGUCGUCACUAAAUCCCCACUGGGACGACGAACACAUAUUUCAAGAAACCAGACACAUAGUCACUGCUCAGAUUCAACACAUCACGUACAAUGAAUUUCUACCAGUAUUGCUUGGUGACAGUCUCAUGAAGCGCCUGGACUUGUACUCUCGAAAAACUGGUCAUUGGAACGGAUACAAUUCUACAGUGGACCCGACCAUCAGCAACAACUUUGCCACCGCGGCCUUCCGUUUCGCCCACACACUCAUACCGAGCAUGAUGAAAUUCCUUAGAGAUAACAACAGCGAUCCCGAAUUUGUCGAAAUGAGGAAAAUGCUGUUCAACCCUUACAGGCUGUACACAUGCGGCGGCGUGGAUAGUGUCAUUCGUGGAGCGAUGAACACGAGCGCCGGAAAAUCUGACGCAUUUUUCACACCCGAAGUCACCAGACAUCUUUUUGAGAAGAACCACGGGUCGGGGCGCACCAGAGGACAGUGCGGAUUGGACUUGGUCGCACUGAACAUACAGAGGGGCCGAGAUCACGGACUUCCGGCGUACCCACGGUGGCGUGAAACGUGCGGGUUUCCGAGGCCACAGAGUUUCAGCGAUCUGGAAGGGCACGUAGAGCCGGCAACGCUGCAAAGAAUAUCGAAAUUGUAUAAGUCGAUCGACGAUUUGGACCUGUACACCGGGCUGCUUUCAGAGAAGCCGCUGGAAGGAAGCAUCUUGGGGCCGACUAUCACAUGUCUGUUGGCCGAUCAAUUCCUGAGGGUGAAAUCGGGUGAUCGUUAUUGGUACGAGACGGACGAGAAACCUCAAGCAUUUAACGAGGAUCAGCUGUCAGAGAUCCGAAAAACCACGUUUGCGGCAAUAAUCUGCGACAAUUCCGACGAAAUUGAAUCCGUUCAGCUGCACGUGAUGCACAGCGCUCGGAAAGUCGGCAACGCCAGAGUUGGUUGCGACAGUUUAAUAAAAACGUCUCUCGGCCCGUGGAAAGAAGAGUUCGACGCGGCCGCUCCUUUGGCCGCCCCUCAGGACCCGACCUCCACCCCACAGGUCGACCCGACCACCACCCCACAGGUCGACCAGACCAACACCGCUCAGGACUCCACCACCGCCGUCGCCGCCACCGAAGUCACGACCAGUAAUAAUAAUAAUAACAACGGAUCACAUUCGGCCGAAGUCCUGCAACCGGCGACAAUUAUUGGCACGGAAAAUCGAUAAGGACCACGUGCUAGAACGUAAAUUAAUUUCAAGUCGGGUAGCCCAAAAUUAAGUUUAAAAAAUAUUGUAUAACACCAGAUACCUUAACCAUAAUAUUAUUGUAUGUAAUGUCUGUAUAAAAUACUUAUGAACUCCGAACUCGCGUGUGGUACAGAGUUUCAGCAUUAAAUUAUAAGAUAUUAUUUUUACUGUUGAUCACAUUCGCCAACGGUUGAGAUGAAAGAGGGGGCUUACAUGAGCUUAAACCCCUGGAAAUAAUAUAUAUUUAAGAUCUCCGCUUACAAUACUCGCGCACCGAUUUCUAAGCGGACACGAUGCUCCACCGUCAUAAUUAUCUUAUAUUAUAGAAGUACGUACAAUAGUAAUAAUAUUAUGCUUAUCAUAUCCUAUGUUUUAAUAUUGGACAAGUCUAAAAAACCAUUUCGUCGUGUCUGGUAUUACGAUAAUUAUUAUUAUAAUAUUAUGAGGUCUUUAGCGGUACGCGUCUGGUAUCAUUAUGAUUAUAAUUUAUAUAAAAUACGAACACUAGAAAAAUUUAAUAAUUCAAAGUGAACGUUUUAUGGUUUAAACAAUAAUAUAUUCAAAGACUAUAUACGAGACGAUGAGACGGUACAUAAUCAUUUCUUUGAUGUGCAUUCUUAUUGUGAAUACUAUUUGUGUUUUGUAAUAACGAUUUUACUGUAAUAAAUAUUAUAAGACCGUCGUAUGACAAUUAUAUAAUAACUGUUAUCUUUGCGCAAACGUUAUAAAUUACGAUUUUUUUAUACCUACAGCUAUAGCUCUUAUGUAUACUAUGUAUUUUUUUUUUUUUUAAUUAUAAACAAUUUAUGUACAUUAUCGUAAUAUUAUUACUAUUUAGUGAUGAACCUUAAAAUAAAUGUACCUACAUUAAACGUUGUGAAUUUUCGUGUAAAAAUAUAAGUUUUAAUUUUUAUGGUCCAUAAUAUUAUUAUUAUUAUUUAUUACCUGUGAAAACAAUAAAGUGUAAAAAUUUCAAAUCACAAACACGUACCUAUAAUGGGCUAUAAUUUGUUUUGCUGUAGAUAUAUUAUAGUGCAAGCCACGUAAAAUAUGUAGCUGCCAAAUUAUAAUAAACUGCUAAUAAAAUAUU